UACGUAGGGUGCAAGCGUUGUCCGGAAUUAUUGGGCGUAAAGAGCUCGUAGGCGGCUUGUCGCGUCGGCUGUGAAAACCUGAGGCUCAACCUCGGGCCUGCAGCCGAUACGGGCAAGCUAGAAUUCGGUAGGGGAGACUGGAAUUCCUGGUGUAGCGGUGAAAUGCGCAGAUAUCAGGAGGAACACCCAUGGCGAAGGCAGCAAGCUGGGCGACACCUGACGCUGAGGCGCGAAAGCGUGGGUAGCAAACAGG
rnacentral:rRNA from 1 species